CCCUUAGAUGUCCUGGGCCGCACGCGCGCUACACUGAGUGUCUGAGAUACGAGUCUGCCUGGUCCGGCAAGGUCUAGGUAAUCGCUAAAAGACACAUCAUGCUUGGGAUAGAUUAUUGCAAAUAUUAAUCUUGAACGAGGAAUUCCUAGUAAAUGCAGAUCAUCAUUCUGCGUUGAUUACGUCCCUGCCCUUUGUACACACCGCCCGUCGCACCUACCGAUUGAAUGAUCCGGUGAAGCCUCGGGAUUGUGCCCAGAGAACUUUAUUGUGAUUUGGGUGUGAGAACUUGUCUAAACCUUAUCAUUUAGAGGAAGGUGAAGUCGUAACA
rnacentral:rRNA from 1 species